rnacentral:rRNA from 1 species
UCUGAUGUGAAAACCCGGGGCUCAACCCCGGGACUGCAUUGGAAACUGUCAAUCUA